GCCCUUGAAAAAGGGCGGUGGCGCAUGCCUGUAGUCCCAGCUUCUCUGGAGGCUGAGGCGGGAGGACUGCUGGAGCCAGGAGUUCUGGGCUGUAGCGCUGUGCUGAUUGGGUGUCCACACUGAGUUCAGCCCCAGUAUGGUGACCUCCUGGGUGCGGGGGACCACCGAGUUGCCUAAGGAGGGGUGAACCGGUCUAGGUCGGAAACGGAGCAGGUCAAACUCUCGUGGUGAUGAAAAAGGACAGUUGCAGACACAGGGAGGACUUGGUAGUCCCAGCUCCAGGCUGGAUCUGGGCAUGCCUUUCCUCU
rnacentral:SRP_RNA from 1 species